ACAGACUGAGAAGACAUAGAAGAACCCAGAAUUUUUGGCCAGAGAAAAACAGAGAUCUCCCCAUGUUUCCUGCAGAUGAGAUCUCCUUCUGCCUUCCUCCACUGGAGCUGAGAUCUCUCUGCCUUGUGGGAGCCAGCCCUGCAGGUGCCAGGUCAGCUUGCAGAAAGCCAAAGCCUAUGCCUAGGAGAGAGCCUGGAACCAGAGAGCAUGGCCCCUGGGACCCAGAGCCCCUCAUCCCAGGUGAGUGCAGUCCAUCCACAGACCUGACCAGCCUCAGCAAACCUGGAAGCCAAGAGAGCCAAGGAGGCUUUAUCCUCUUCAAUGAAGGUGGGCCUUUGCAGUGCUGUGAGCAGAGCAGAAAUUGUCCCCUACUCCUGCUCAUGUCCUCCUGCUUUUGGUCACCCAAGUCUUCUCUUCUCUGAAUUGCUCUCAUUUCCCAUUUCUUAAGUCAUGUCAGUAAGCAUUUAGAAAGUGAUUCCUCUGUGCCAUGCACUGUGCUAGCCUACUGGGGAUGAACAGAACAAGAGUCUGGCCUCAAGGAGCUCACAGUCUAAUUGGGAGAAAACAUCUCUUCAGUAUGCACGGGAGGCGCCCUGAGAGGGAAGGCUCUGGCAGUUUUGGGCACUAGGAAAAGGAGCCUAGCCUGGCAAGGUUUUUAGGGACUCAGCAGGCAGGGUCCUUGGGGCUUUCUUUUGGACAAGGUCAUCAAAUCUUAUCAGCCAUGGAAGACAUUGUCUAAAGAAAGUAACAGAGUUCUUUAGGAAAAUUAGAAAUUUCCACCUGGAAUAUCAUCUAUGGCAGCUACACAUUUGAGCCAAGUCAUUCUGAAGAGUUCCCAGCCUUGAUUCAGAAUGGGACCUGUCCUUGAAUAACCCUGAUACUGCCAGAUCUUGGAAUGCAGAAAAUAAGAGACUGGCUCCAAUCCUCAUGGUCUGGGUGCUCCCUCCUGGUAAUUCCACAAACAUUGAUGAUGUGCCAGGCACCAGGCUCAGUCCUGGGGGUACAAAGCAAGGUGAGGAGCCCCUCCCCUCCAGGAGCUCACUUUCCACUGGCUUAGUCAAAUCAACAAGUCAGUGAGGUUUUUUUAAGCAUCUGCUCUGGUCUAAGCAACUCGGGCUCUUAGGAUUCCAAGAAUGGGAAAAGAAAACAGACACUUUUAAAUAACUACAAACAUGCAUGCAUACAUACAUACAUACAUAUGUACAUACAUACCUACUUCCAUAAUCUGAAGCUAGGUGGUACACUGGAUAGAGUUCUGGGUCUGGAUUCAGGAAAACCUGAGUUCAAAUGUGGCCUUAGACACUUCCUAGAGCGUCGGUCUCAGUUUUCUUUCCUGUGAAAUGGUGGCAGUAGGACCUGCAUAACAGAGUGAGUGUGAGGAUCAGGAGAGGUAAUGUUUGUCAAGUACUUGUGCCUGGCACA
rnacentral:lncRNA from 1 species